GCCCAUGCUGCCCACCGGAGUCUCUUCAUCUAUGAACAGGUAGAUCUCUCUGCCCUAUUUUAUCCAAGAUUUAUGAACGAAUCGCGAUAAUAGAGUUUCAAUACUAUAUCUGCACAUGUUUUGUUAAGUUGGAUGAGUAACAUGCAUGUCAUAUCAUAGAGAUCUUUUUAAUUUUUGUUACUCUUUCCAUUCAGAAUUUUAAUGACAAACUUCCCAAAGUGUUCAUCCCAGUCCAGGUGGGCUCCCAUGACAAGAUGCCAUGGACUAGGCAGCAUCAACUCCUGGAUUUAUUUUUCUUAGUUCCUGAGGUCAGAAAUCCAAGAUCCAGGGGUGGUGAGGUAGGUUUCAUCUAGAGGCCGCAUCCCUCUGUGCUCACGGGACCUCUUCUUUGUGCAGGCAGAGACGACGGAGAGCUCUCUUACAAGGGCAGUAAUCCCAUCACAGGGCCCCACCCUCAUGACCUUGUCUAACCCUAACCCUCCCAAGGCCCCCCCUCCAAACACCUUCACAUGGGGAGUUAGGGCGUCAACAUACAAAUUUGGGGCGGUGGGUGCAGGUGCACAUAUUCCAUCCAUACAAACUUGCCCAUUUAAGGACGUAUUUUCCUUGUAGAUCUUCACUGGAAAGAGGAAACUUUUUAGUAGUAAGAGGAUAAAAAUCUCUGUCAUCCCAAUUGACCCAAGGUCUUCAAAAGAACGACUCUAUUAAAGCAGGAACUCAACAUCUCCGUUUUAAUUUUCCAUAGUUCCUUACUCACACCAUCCAGCUUUAAACCCAUGUGACUCCACAAGGGUGUUCAUUCUCUUUUUUAAUUAGUUAUGUCUCCCUUAGGACAACGAAGACAUUGGUAUUAACACUUUCCAAAUGCCAUUUAUUAUCAUUCCAGAAGGACACUAUUUGCAGAACCACCCUAUAACCAGGCCAGAAUAACACAUCAUUAAUGGCUUCAGGAAAAGAAAAUGUAUCAAUUAAAGCACAAUUCUUUUAUAAAAAGAAAAUAAUUAGCCAAAAGCCCACAUGUUGGCAGAUACUGUUAUUUCACAGCAGAUUUAAUGUGGUGGCAACACAACUGAUUUUGGAAGUGAAAAUAAUCGAGGCUGCAGACACACGUGGCACUGAAAAUAGGAUUUUCUCCCGUUGGAGGGUUGAGAUGCACUGUUAACUAAAACACUGAUUUCUAUACCCAGCAACCCUGAGGCAAUCUUAACAGAGAGGAUCAGAGAAUGCUCUGUCUCCAUGGCAGCCCAGCAUCUGUGGGGCUCUGCUGUUGGUGUUAGAUGUUGUGUUGCUCGCUGAGAGGUUGCCAAGCUGUAACUGCACAACCAUGACAUAAAGCGAUUGACCUAGUACCCGUAGCUUUGAAGCUGGACAUCUAAAAUGCAGCAGCAUAGACUAAUUAAGUAUAGACUACACUGCUCCCAAAAUAGUAAGACAAUCAAUGCAGGAGAAGCAGGUCCUUCAGUUCAUGCUGUGGAGCUCGGGCUCUGAGCUGGGCACUGUGCUGGGUGCAGAGUUGGACUUGAUGUGAAGGAGAGUGGUGCACAACUGACGAUGAUGCAACUGAGAAGGCUCGGUGGAGGCUUCAUGGAAGAAACAAACGACCUGGACUUCGAAGAACAGAGAGAACUCGCCACAAAGGGAAAGUGCAGGAGAGGUACGUGAACAGCUCUAUUGAAUCGGGGUGCAGGGUGGUCAAAGGGAAGGGAGGGGUCAUCAGUUCCAAGGCAGCUAAAGCCCUGAGAAGGAUGUUGAAGGCCAGGUCGAUUCAUGGGAAGCCGGUGCUGCUUUUGAGAAGGGGACGAUACCCUCGUAAGUAGGAGAAAUACACUUUGUCUAUCGCAUCAGAUACACUCGAGACUCAGGUCGCAGGCAGGACAUUUAAGAGGUCUUUGGAAAAGUCUGGUCAGGGCUGACAGGAGCGGAGUAACGGCAUCUUCAGAGGGAACGCUGAGGAAGGCGGGCCUUGCAGGGCUUGUCGGGCCGGACUGGAGCCCUGCACGUGAAGGAGCGGGGGCAGAUGAAGGACGCUGCAGGGCCGGAGACGAGGCAGGGGCGGACAAGGACGGACACACCCGCGGCUCCCGCAGCAGCACGGUUUCUCGGCCGAGAGGCUGCGACACGGCAGGAGGGCCCUGGAGUCAGGCCCCCCGCCCCGCAGGCCCUUCCCAGCCGGCUGAGGCCCCCUUCGUGGGCGCGGAGCCCUCCUCGGGAAGAGGCUUUGACGACGCCCGUCGGCCGUCUCCGGGUUAGAAUCGUGGAACGGAAGGCAGAAGUCUGUGAAAGGCACUUGGCGCUUCAGGGCAAGAGCGUCACACAGGCGGGCACGCGCCAGGCCCCGCGCUGUGAUCCGCUGACGAGGGGGCGCGCACGAAGGCUCGGGGCCCAGCCACACGCACACCAGGACGCGCAGGCGCUGGGUGCGCACGACGGUCCGCGCGAGGACCGGAGAGGCGACCCCGCGCGGCCCUCGCGGCGGGAAAGCGGUGAGACGCACGUGCCGCGUCGAACAGGGCGCCGUCCGCAGUGGAGGCUGGAGGCCGGGGCUGUUGCGAGCGUUUUCCCUGAACGCCAGGCAUGGAAAUGGUGGCACGCGAACAAUAAGUCAGGUCGGGCCGGCAGUGGGACUGUAGUUUCCUGAUUUCUACCCUCUUCCGUUUCUGGAGAGGUCACUGGUUUUUCUUUUUUCGAUCUUCAUCAGAAAAAGUGAGCCUGAAGCCCACCCUCAGGUCAGAGCGCGGGGCUGGGGAGGAAGAAAGAGGCGCGCGCGCUCCGGGCUUCAAAGCUGGGCCUCGAUGAAGGGAAACAACGCUUAUAUUGUAUCUCACACAAUUUCAGGACUUACUGGGUUGACAGAGAAAAGCAAUUUACAUUAUAUGAGGAAGAAUUGUCUGGAAAGGAGCCCUCUGUAACAAUGACUGACAUCUAUACACUCCUUUAGCAUUUGCAGACACUCCGACGUGACUUCUCUCGGACACACGGGCUUCCCACCCUCCUCAGAACAGCCCCCGAAGUGUAGGGGCCUAGGAACGGGGCUCCAUGGACGAGCCCAGAAGAUGAACAACACCCAGCGUCCCUUUCUGAAGUGUGUCCCAGACUUCAUCUCACCUGUGCCCCUCGUGCUUCACAGGAGGAACGCGGCCGGUUUUUAUUGCUGAAGGUAGAGAUGUUGGUCUCCGUUAAGGCACGUCUGCGCACAGAGGACAAACAGCCCUGCAGGGCGUUCUGACACCCUCUCCGUUUGUAGGGAAACCAGGAAGACCACUCCUGACCAUGUCCCUAGGCCCCACGGAGCUCACCCUGGAGACUCAGCUCUUUUCUACAGGCCCCUUGGAUUCCAUUCCCAACAAAUUUCUAGGAAACAAGAAGAAUUAAGGCAAAUCUUGGUGCAACAGAGAUCAUUUAAGAGCAUAAUUAAACUAGUGUGCUUUUUUCUUUCACUUUUCUGCACUGUAUACGUGGCCUUUCCCCUAGGCAGCCAGCAAUCGUCAUUUGCCACAAGGAAGAUGAGAAUUGUCAAAAUAAAAUGCAAACUAAAGGAAGAGGCAUUAUUCAGAUUCUGACAGAAUGAGAUAUUUGCAUCUCUGCUGAGACAAUAUUUUUAAAAGCUAUGAUUGUGAGAGGAUAAAUAAAUAUGUCCUGUGAACAAGCACAUGCGUGUAUGUAUGCACACACACAUGUAUAUAUGCAUACGUUCAUUUUCUCAAUCCUGUACUCUUCUCAACAUACUAAGAAGCCCAGCCUGGAAGAGUUUAUGCAAGGUGCUGGGUAGAAGGGACUGAGGCUGUGACAAAGGAGCUGCACUGCCUCUGGGGAGGAAAGGAGGGGAGGCCUCUGAGACCCAGAAGAAGACAGUUUUAAAUAAAGAAAAGGCAGAAGUUCAAAGCCAUUGUCUUUCUUUCCAACUCCCAGGUUGGACGCUUAAGUCAGGGACGACGGAGAGUCCAGAGGAUGUGGGGCACCCACCUGACUGAGCAGAGUGGGGUCUCCUCGCUGGCCUGGCCCCCCAGCCCAGCCAGAGGGGUCCGAGCAGGUUCCUAAGUGAGCACUCAGGAAUGUGGACACAGACUCCGCAGCAUCUGGAGAUUCUGGGGUUCCCACGGAGAUCGAGCAGAGGAGGUGGGAGAAUCAGAGAAGCCAGGUUUCAGGGCAGGAGACCUCACCAUGGAGGGACCCCAGCACCCACCCUGCCAGACCCAGGCCUCCUCAACCAGCCACAGACCCAUGCUGAGCACGGUCUCGCUCAGAGAAGUGGAAGGGGAACCCAAAGGAAAUUUUCUUGCUAUUCGAACUUGCUCUCAACUGUCUUCUCCACCUCAUUAAGAGACAUUCACAGAAACUCUUUGUUUCCAAAUGUGACCACUUUUGUAAACUGCUUUUGACGUCCAUCUGGAGGAAUCCACACAGCAACACAACACUGAAGGGAACAGCCAAGACUGGAGAUUGUUGACCAACCAAGGCACGUCUUCCAGCCAAUGGUGACCUUCUAACAUCAUGUUCACCUACCAUCACCAAUCCAGACAUUAUGGAAAACUUCAAGCCAGAAGUUUCAGAUGAUGUAUCUUGUUGUUGCUGAUAAUUCUGGACUGGUUUGUAUCUGAAUCACCAUCUACGCCUCAUUAACUAGGUCUACCUGCAACAGCUCAAGGCGCAGCUGAGGAAGUGUCCUCGCAGAAGAGCCCACACGGUGGUCGUCUCUGCCAUGUUGUAUUGGCUGCAGUCGGGUCCAGUGGGAACGCUGUCGUCCGAUGGGUCAACACUGCUUUGGAUGACUCAAAGGUCGAUCACAAUACUGCUGUCAAGUGCACUUGUGAUUGUGGAGCAGUCAUUUAAAUGCCUGGUCUGCUCUGUAGUUGUUACAAAAGAAGACUAUUUCCCACUUUUGUCAGAAAUGCAAAAAUGAACAUCAGGUGAGCCACAUACUUGUUGUCUAGAUUAAAAAAAAGUAAUAGGCUUACUCAUUGUUAUUCAAUACAGGAAUAAAAAAAUACUAAAAAAGUAUUGACAGGACACUCAUCUGAGCACAGGCUUGCCAAAACCUCAGACGACAUCAGGUGCCUUUGUAGACAGCGUUUCCUGUCCUGCCGAGAAAUUUAUCUGAGAAGGUAGAGCCAGACACCCAAGUAACCUGCUUGGAGGUCUCAGGUCCCCGUCAGCAGCGAGCUGUUUGUGAUAGAGCUCAGGACCCUUCGCUCUUCUCUAUGAUUCCCAACUCCUCCUUCUGCAGCUUCCCCAUUUGUGUGAACAUCGCAUCUCCUCUCCAGUCAAGGGCACACCUCCCUCUGCCUCCAUCACCAGUUUUCCACUAAACACCUCUUGUCAUCACUGCCUUCAAGCUCCAAGCCACCAUCAUCUCUUGCGUCUGUUCCCUCACUGGCCUCCUAAAACAUGUGCCCACCCCCAUCUUGUCCUCUCCUCCAACCCUGUCUCCACCCUGAAGCCAGACAAUCUUUUUAAGCAUAAACUUGAAUGUGUCAUACCUCAGCUUAACCUCCAUCUAUGGCUUCCUAGCUGUUCUUUUGAUAAAGGCAGAAAUCCUGUGUAUGGAUUACUUUGAUUUCUCGGGGAAGUCAGAUGUGACAGGUGGCACUCAUUUGGGUGCAAUGUCAGUCACCUGAGUUUGUGCUACACUGUGGCAAUAGCAACAGUGCCAGUGACUCGGAACAACAAAGAUGUACUUGUAGUUUGUGCCACAUGCCCAUCACGGGCCGGCUGAAGCUCGGUUCCAUGCUCUCUGUACUCUGAAAGUACAGCCCGACAUGGGACAUCACGGGUUUCAAGGGAUGGGAAUAGGAAAGACGAUGGACCACAAACUGACUCUUGAAGAUCCUGUUCAGAGGUGAUUCAGGCCACAUCCAACAUCCACAGAGCAGGAGAUAGAGUCUUCCCACAGCUAGAAGCCUUGCACAAAGAACGGUGGGAGAGUCACCAUGACAUACCAUGACGCACCAUGAUAGAAUCCACCACACCUUCUAAAGAACCCCCCCAAAAAGAAAUUUCACAAUUAGGUAUGAUAUUUGUUCUAUAUUUCUGUUAGAUACUCUUUGAAAAACAUUAUUUUAGAACCUAUUCUAUUUCUGACUGAAAGUUUUUAUGAUGUAUGGGUCAUUGAAUUUUAUAAAUAUUGUUUCUGCAUCUAUUUGAGAUGAUUGUAAGAAUAUUCUCCUUUAAUCUGUUUAUUAAUGUAUGUACAUGCACUUUAUAAUGUAAUGUACACUGGUAAAAUCAGUCAAUCAAUCAAUCAAUCAAUCCUGGCUCUGUUUCAUCACCUAAAAAAUAAAAGACUGAACCUUCCAAUCCAAGAUGCUCCAAGAAGGAGGAGGAAUAAAGGCUGAAUGUACAAAAUAAUAACAUGAA
rnacentral:lncRNA from 1 species